GGCCUUUUGAUUAUUAUUUAAGGUCUAACCUGCCCACUGAAUUUUAAAGGGCCGCGGUAAUUUGACCGUGCUAAGGUAGCAUAAUCAUUAGUUUUUUAAUUGAAAGCUGGAAUGAAUGGUUGGAUAAGAAAAUAACUGUCUUUGUUUAAUUUAAAUUGAAUUUUAUUUUUAGGUUAAAAAGCUUAAAUUUUAUUAAAAGACGAGAAGACCCUUUAGAGUUUUAUAUAGAAUUAUUUUUAAUAUUUUAGAAAUUUUAAUUUAAAAUUAAUUUUAUAAUUAGUUGGGGUGAUUGAAAAAUUUGAUAAACUUUUUUUGUAUUUAAAUCAUAAAUUUAUGAAUUUUUGAUCCAUAAUUAUUGAUUAUAAGAUUAAAUUACCUAAGGGAUAACAGCGUAAUUUUUUUUAAGAGUUCUAAUCGAAAAAAAAGAUUGCGACCUCGAUGUUGGAUUAAAAUUAAUUUUUGGUGUAGAAGCUAGAAGUUUAGGUCUGUUCGACCUUUAAAAUUU
rnacentral:rRNA from 1 species